rnacentral:tRNA from 1 species
GCCGAGGUGGCUCAGUCCGGUACGGCGCGAGUCUGGAAAGCUCGUGGCGGAAUACGCCUCGGGAGUUCAAACACCGGGGACGGUCGACCCGUCCCGGGGGAAAAUCUCCCCCUCGGCG